rnacentral:rRNA from 1 species
GACGAACGCUGGCGGCGUGCUUAACACAUGCAAGUCGAACGGAAAGGCCCUGCUUUUGUGGGGUGCUCGAGUGGCGAACGGGUGAGUAACACGUGAGUAACCUGCCCUUUACUUUGGGAUAACUUCAGGAAACUGGGGCUAAUACCGGAUAGGAGCUCCUGCUGCAUGGUGUGGGUUGGAAAGUUUCGGCGGUUGGGGAUGGACUCGCGGCUUAUCAGCUUGUUGGUGGGGUAGUGGCUUACCAAGGCUUUGACGGGUAGCCGGCCUGAGAGGGUGACCGGCAACAUGGGGACUGAGAGACGGCAAAGACUCCUAAGGGAGGCAGAAGUGGGAAAGAUGGAACAAUGGGGGGAGGAAUGAUGCAGCAACGACGCGUGCGGGAUGAAGGGCCUCGGGUUGUAAACCCCUUUUGCCUGUGACGAAGCGCGAGAGAAGGUAAUGGGUAAAGAAGCACCGGAUAACUACGUG